UGAUUUUAUCAGCCUAUGAUAAAGCUGGAAAUUAUAAGAAGGCUAGACGAUUGGUUAUAUUUGAUGAUACAUCUGCUGUAACAACGACGUCCGGGAGUGUGCUUAGAGUGACUACUGCUCUUUCUACUACCAAUUACAAAUGGCAGACUAAUUUAAAUUCUGUUACAAUCAGUUGGACUAAUAGAUAUAUCAACACUAUACAUCAUAAUGGUCGUUUUCUAGCAGCAGUUAGAUCAGAACCUGGUGUAGAGUCUCAAUAUGAUGAUAAUUAUGGGUCUAGAACAACUCAGGCAAUUAGCAAUGUACAAGGAAUUGUUGGUAUUAAAACCAUAUAUAAAGUGGACCACGCUGGAGGAAGUUCGAUUAACCAGCCUUCUCAAAAUGAAUUCGUAGAUCUAGGACUUGAUCAACAAGAGACAAUAACACCAGUUCUGAAAGAUGGCGAUACUUUACGAUAUUUUAUCAGAGCUUACGAUAUUUUAUCUCAAUACAAGGAAGAAUCGUUGACCGUCCAUUUUGAUAGUUCACCACCUGUUAUUGAAAAUCUAUGGUUAACAAAAGGUGAUGAGGUUAAUCUAGCAGUUCAUGGUUUUGAGGAACUUGAUAAAAUGGUCAUAGAAUGGGUAGCCUAUGAUGAUCAUAGUGGAAUAGAAACAGUACAAUGGAAGUUAUUGGAUCAUUUAACGGAAGUAGAACAUGGAUCUCAGCGUAUUCCACCACAAGGCGAAACAACGAACCUUGCAGAAUGCCAAAGUAAAUAUUCUAAUAAUGCCAGAGGAGCCAAUUGUUAUUGCAUUCCUACUAGCACAUGUUAUCAUCGCCAUUUUCAAAUAAAACCACCUAAGACUGCUACACCCGGAGAAGGCAUCUUAAACAAUAAAAAUACUGGUACGCAUGAUCAUGAUUAUCGUAUCGUGGUUACUGUGAUGAACCAAGCUAAAUUAAAAACAACUCUAACU